UGAACUCAGAUUUUUUUAUAGCAAAUAGUAGAACUGAACCUCUCUUUGCCAUAAUCAGGUUUGUCAAUACAGAGAAGUACUGUUUAAUGACACUUGGCUUCAGUGAAAAGGUGAGUGUGAAUUGCAGAGAUUCCUCCCACUUUCUGUUCCAUGACUCGGGCUCUCAGUGACUCACUGCUCAGUGUCUGCAGCAUGGAUACUCUGACCCCACGUCAUGUUUCUCCUGGUUUAAGUGACCCGGAGACCACCUCAUCCAACAGCCUCACUGCUGAAGUCAGGAAGCACUGCAUGGCUUUCCCAACGUGUGAGGACUGAGGGUUGUUCCACUGCUAAGCUGGAGCAGCUGAGUCAGAGCCAGUUCGCAUACCUGAGACCAGGCUCUGCUUCACUAAUUUAUGGUUGUUUCUCCCCCCCAAUUAUCAAGGUGGAAGCCCUUAGGUCCUACAGAGCUCUUUCUGCCAGUCGCUACUAUUGUGGAGCAGAGUGAGCCCGUUUCUACCAUGAAGCUGUGUCCACCACCAGAUGCACUGUGAGGAAUGCCUUAGGCUGCUGCAGGGAGCCACACAGAAGUGGGGAUGUCAAGCCAUUAAGUUCACGGUGCUCAGUUCAAGUUCACAGUGUAUGGGUCUGACUCCUGAGAUGACCUUGUGACAGCAUGACCCAAAUCAUCUUCCCUUUCUUAUGGACAGCUGAAAUCUUCUCAGGCAUCUUCUGCUUUUGAGGUGUCUAAGAUCACAAAGUUUCUUCCCUUUAAACAAGAAGCUACUCUGUUUUCUGUUUCACGUUCAGCUUUGGCUCUGCUGUAGGAGCUACACUGUUAAGGAGGUCUGUCCACCUUUGCAGAAUCGUGCUGCUUCUCCUUCCUUCUCUGUGAUUGCCCACAGCUUCUACACCACAUUGGCUGAGGAAUUUGAUAUUCAGGGGAAGGAACAGGGGAGGUAGGCCAGGGACUGACUGACAGAUCCUGCAAUGACAGGACCCCAAAGCCAAGAACAUGCAGAAGGGCGCCUUCCAGUGACGCUGCCCCUCUGUGCCGACUGCUCCCUAGGGGAGGAAGUUCCCUCCUUUCUUCAGUUUAUAGAUGCGCCAGAGCUACUCUGAGAGCAUCCCAGAACAGGAACCAGUGUCGGGCCCCCAGAAAGUUAAACUGUGAGAAGUGAAAUGAAAGUGUUCUCAGCCUGGAGUAAGAGGGUGAGAAUGAGGCCGGCGUGCAGACACACAUCAGAUUCCACCUGAGGACAGCCAGCCAGCGACACUGUCGUCAGACUUCAGAAGUAAGUGCCAGAAGCAGCACAAAGACCAAUCUGGGAUCCCAAGAACAAGGGCAGGCGGGGGGCAAGGCUAAGGACUGUGAAAGCAUGCCCCACAGGCCAGCAGUGGAUGUCUCUCUGGAAUUAUCCAGUUUGGUUGAGGUGCCGGACACACGCCAUGGAUGCGGGAGGAUUGAGUGUGGGGAUUUGAUUUCUACAAUCUCGGCUGUGCCGUGUGCCCUUUUCUACUCUUUGUGCAAACUGUCCCAUGGAAACCUGCCACUCACGAUGUCCCAAUAGCUGAAUAGUGUCACAGACCUGGAGCAGUGAAGUCAAGGACCACAUGGGCUAGAUUUUGCCAUGUGAAUGGGAUUCUCGUUUGGGGGGAGGGGUUAGCUUUUUGUAUUUUAGAAACACCUAUAAACUAGUCAUUAUUUUAAAAAGCACACUCUCCUGGGUCUGUUUUUCCCAUGGACACAAACACCCACCCCCACCCCUCUCACUGUCUUCCUUGCACCUGUCCUGGGGAUGGUCUAGAGGCUCAGGCCAAACCAUCAGGGGUCUAGAGUUGAAACUGUCCCUUGGAAAACUGUACAAACAAGAUUCACUCAAUGUAACAUUUUAAGCUCUCACAUGAGCCUCUUUGAAACAAUAAAUAUUUCCAUAAUCAGGGUUUUCUGGUGGCCCACUUUUACAUGCAAAUACAAAUUGUUAGCAUGCAUUAAUUACUUAAGUCAAUUGGUAAAGUUUAUUUUGUAAGUGUAAGUAAUUUUAAGCAAUUUACUAACUUAUAAAUUUCAACUAUGAAAAACCACUACCAGAGCAGUUCUGAGGUAUUACUGUUAAUUCCCUAAAGAAAUGUUGUUGAGGGGGCGUGGAGUGACUGCCAUGCCUUUUGGUGAGCAGUGCUGUCUCCAGUGCUGACUGCAGCCAUGUCCCAGAGAGUCUCAGAAAGUGGCCUGGCUCAUUAACCAGGCUUGUGAAUGUGACUGGUCACCACUGAGCCAACCAGAACCACAGAGAGAGAUGCCACGGAAUGGACCACACAGCUGAGAAAUGACAUGUGUAUGGUGCUGCUUCCAGCUUGGCUUCAUCAAAGCCCACCCUACCCACUCAAGUUGCUUACAAAGAAAAUGUGUGCAAAAAGCAUCCAAAAAGCUUA